AUAACAUUCGGACCGACGGUCUCCCGAACAAUUUCACCGGCUUGGUGGAUGAUCAUUCCUUGUCGU
rnacentral:pre_miRNA from 1 species